rnacentral:lncRNA from 1 species
AAAGUUUCAGGUAUUCUUGCAUGAUUGUAUGCGGUUGAAGUGCUAGACAUACUAAAGCUUAGUCGUGUUUUCUGUUUUGGUGUUUGUAUUGAGUCUACGUUGGUUUUUAAAUAAGAACCGGUGGAGGGUUUCACUGUCUUCAAAAGCUCAAAAAAGGUACAAACUGCGGUUAAUAAAGAUGGUGAUGCACACCAUAAAGAGGAGAAUCCGAAGAAGGAACUCUACAGACAAAUGGAGGUUUGCUUUCUUCUUCUCCCCUUCUCUUUCGCGUGAUUGUUGUUCCCGUUUUAUGUAGAGUCUCUGUGGCUUAGAUUAGAGUUUGGUGAAAAAAAAAAAAGGGGCUUAUUGGCUCUAAAAGUGGCUAAUUUUAGUGUUACAAGCUCAAAAUAAUUUUAUUAUGUUCCCUAACUAUUUGUUUAUUGUUAUUUUUAGAAAUUGUUAUCGUUAUUAUUAUUGGUGAU